rnacentral:rRNA from 1 species
AUUGAACGCUGGCGGCAGGCCUAACACAUGCAAGUCGAACGAGUGGCGGACGGGUGAGUAAUGUCUGGGAAACUGCCUGAUGGAGGGGGAUCACUACUGGAAACGGUAGCUAAUACCGCAUACCAUCAGAUGUGCCCAGAUGGUAUUAGCUUGUUGGUGGGGGAACGGCUCACCAAGGUGACGAUCCCUAGCUGGUUUGAGAGGGUGACCAGCCACAUGGGAACUGAGACACGUGCCAGGCUCCUACGGGAGGGAGCAGUGGGGAAUAGUGCACAAUGGGCGAAAGCCUGAUGCAGCCAUGCCGCGUGUAUGAAGAAGGCCUUCGGGUUGUAAAGUACUUUCAGCGGGGAGGCGUUACCCGCAGAAGAAGCACCGGCUAACUCCGUGCCAGCAGCCGCGGUAAUAC